GAGUUUUUCGAGCAGUUGAGAAAUUGGAGAGAGAGAGGCGACUGAUGAGGGGAGGGGGGAAACGUGACUGAUGAAAGGGGGAAAAAGAAGGGUAGGGUUGGGCUUGGGGUGUCGGGCCGAGUAUUGGGCCGAGUUCUUUUUUUUUUUUUUUGAGUCAGUUGGGCCAAUUUUCCAUUUGUUUUGAAUAAAUGUUUGGGCCCUUAUUUUAUUUAAAGACUUUGGACUGCCUUCAAUUAAUUUAAUUGGGCUGUCUUAUGUUUUAUUAAUUGAACU
rnacentral:lncRNA from 1 species